rnacentral:lncRNA from 1 species
CCAAAUAGACCCCCGGCAUCCUUCCCUCCUAAAAUUUUCCAUCUUGCUAUUGGGGAGACUCGAACUCACAACCUCUCGGUUGGAAGUAGGAUAAAAAUUCAGUAUAAUAGAUUCUAUUAUAAUUCGUAGCGAACAGAAUUUAGAGGUUAAAAGUAUGUGGUUAAAGAUUCUCUAAAAUCACAGGCAGUUAGUGGCGCUCAAACUUUCAUGAUACAUUUUGGAACUAAG